rnacentral:rRNA from 1 species
AGAGUUUGAUCCUGGCUCAGAGCGAACGCUGGCGGCGUGCUUAACACAUGCAAGUCGAGUGCGCGCCUGUAGCAAUACAGGUGGCGCACGGCGCACGGGUGCGUAACACGUGGGUAAUCUGCCCUUCGAUGGGGAAUAACUCGCCGAAAGGCGAGCUAAUUCCGCAUAACAUUCCGAGAACUUCGGUUUUUGGAUUCAAAGGCGUAAGUCGUCGGAGGAGGAGCCCGCGCACGAUUAGCUAGUUGGUGAGGUAAUGGCUCACCAAGGCUAUGAUCGUUAGCUGGUCUGAGAGGAUGGCCAGCCACACUGGAACUGAGACACGGUCCAGACUCCUACGGGAGGCAGCAGUGGGGAAUCUUGCACAAUGGGCGAAAGCCUGAUGCAGCGACGCCGCGUGGGGGAUGAAGCUUCUCGGAGUGUAAACCCCUUUCGACCCGGACGAAUGCCCCGCAAGGGGACUGACGGUACGGGUAUAAGAAGCCCCGGCUAACUACGUGCCAGCAGCCGCGGUAAGACGUAGGGGGCCAGCGUUGCUCGGAAUUACUGGGUGUAAAGGGUUCGUAGGCGGUGUGGCAAGUCGGGAGUGAAAUCUCUGGGCUCAACCCAGAGUCUGCUUCCGAAACUGCUGUGCUUGAGUGUGGGAGAGGCGCGUGGAAUUGCAGGUGUAGCGGUGAAAUGCGUAGAUAUCUGCAGGAACACCCGUGGCGAAAGCGGCGCGCUGGACCACUACUGACGCUGAGGAACGAAAGCUAGGGGAGCAAACAGGAUUAGAUACCCUAGUAGUCC